AUCCCUGAAAUCUUGCAGUUAUAGUUCUCUCCAGUAUAUGCAGGAAGGUAUUUCUUACACACCGAACACACAUAAUUCUGUGCACAGUACUUUACAAAACAAUGCGCAUAGGGUGUGCAUGUGGUACACCCUGUAAUUCCUUGGCAGUAAAAACCAAACUUGUCGGUUUGCAUAAUUAAGUAUUUGGGUGUGCCUAGUCAUGCAAGCAAGUGCCGAAAUGAAUCCUGGUGGUGUUUUUAGUUUUGAAUGGAAUGAACAAGUGGAGUUGCUUGUAAUCUAUACUUUAUAUAAGUAUAGUACCUGUUCCAGGUAAAAAGUAUCGGUAAAAAGUAUCGGCAUGCAAAAUGCUUUAUAGCCUAAUUUUAAGCAUACUGUACUCAGACGCCAACCUUACAGUGGGGCUUAUUCUCAAUAAAAUUGUACAAUUAAUUAUCAUUAAUUCUCAUCAUUCUUUACAACCAUAUUGUGAGGUUGGUUAGGCUGCAAUAUACUGAUUUGCCAGAGGUUCUAAUGGGCCUCCUUCUCCACCCCCAACAACAAACCACCUCACAAAAUUUGCAGGUGUGCAUGCACAUGCAGUUAAAACUAUAUUUGGGUUUUUUCCUAAGGAAAACUUGAAACCGUGCAGUAGUAUCUAAUAUUUAUGUGCGCACACUCGUGCAAGACAUCUGUGUAUUUCCCUUCAUUGUAUGCCCACCAGUACUGCUUAAAGUCACAUUUCAUGACAUUUGGAAACUUACACAGUAUGGGAGACCUGGGUGUUUGCAAAAGAGAAUAAAGUACCUUAAGUGCAUGAAGAGUUUCACUUAUUCCUAGUUGAGCUUGCCUCUUCCUGCUUCUGGUAGGCUCAGGGAUGACAAAUGGGAAGCAAGUGGAGAAAGUAUUUCCCCAUUUCCCACUACUCAAUUUUGACCACCCAAGCUUUCAGUCACCGUAUUCCUACAGCUGGUUGAAGAAGACUUUUCCAAUUCCUUCCAUAGCAAACAGUUGCCAUUGCUGUUCUAGUCUCCUGAUCAGGCCAGGCCAAUCCCUGCAGCUGCCUGGCCAAGAGCAAUGGCAGGAUGAGCUCAUCCAUCCAUCCAUGUGCAUAGGGCCGGAUUUAGGUGUGAUGAGGCCCUAAGCUACUUAAGGUAAUGGGGCCCUUUAUAUGUCCAGCUGUCCUUUGUCAACAACCAAUUGUCGCUGGUUUUUGUGUUGAAUAUAUGCUGUACAGUAUGGUAAUUUAUGGACCUAAUAGGUAUCUAAAGCCAUUUGCAUAUGUUGCCAUGCAACCAGUCCAUGCAGAAUGUAGGCACCCUAUAUAUAGAAAUGAGCAAACCAGUGAUAUUUUAGGGAGCAGGCUAGCAGGCAGGGCCCAUGACUUACAUCAUAGGAGCCUACACAACACAAAACACUGUUGCUGUAUGUAUUUUUUAUUUUAUUUGUUUUUAUCUUUUAUUUUGGAAAUGGUACAUUUUUUUCUUUAAUUUUUUUGGGGGCCCCCGAAGAAAGUGGGGCCCUAAGCUAUAGCUUGUUUAGCUUAUACAUAAAUUCGGCACUGCAUGUGCAGAGGAGUGCUGUGCAGACUACUUCUGCUAAAGCACUUUAAAGCGCUGUUUAACAAACCAAACUCUCAAACCUGCCUAUGGUGGUUUCAGGGUUGCUGUUUUUAUGGGAAAGGCAGCCGAGGGCGGUGAAUUUGGUUGCUGAAACAGUACUAAGGAAGGAGAAGUGACACUUUGAGGUGUUCUUGCAAUCAGAAUUCACACACACGCCUACUAGAGGUCCUGUUUUCUCCCAUGGGUGGAAAAAGGCAUUGAUCACCCCACCACCUAUCUCUGUGCUGGUGUUAUAAUCAACUUCACACCCAUUCCAGUGCAUUUCCUUAGAAAACUCAGCACACCAGGAGACUGCAUAACAACAUCGGACUACAUUGCAGGAGUGCGUCACAUGCUGUCCUCUAUCAGCUCACCCCAAACCCACACUAUGGAUAUAGCAAUAUAUGGUUGAUAUGACUCCAGGGUAACCAAUCUGAUGUUGUGGGCUAAAACUUCGAUUGCCAGCAGUCAUCAUGAUGGAAGUUAUGGUUCAAAACCCCUGGGGGGGGGACCACAUUAGCUACCCCUGAUGUUGUCCAUCUUCUCUCAGCUGCAGCACCCAGCACCCACCCCUACAAUAUGGGUUUAAUAUAAAGGUGGACUUCCUUUGCCUUGGCAGGGUAAUUUUAAAAAUGUCUACAAACUUGGGGAGAAAUACAUAUCUGCAUGAAAUAAGACCUGAGCUAGUAAGAGUACAAGCUCCUGUCACUGCAGCUAACUUGGUUGUGUGCUUGAUAUACUACUGCCCAAUCACAGAUACACUGCAUUUCUGAAAUUUCUUUUUAGCACUGUGAAUAAGCCCUUCUUGUUUAAAAUGUGUUUUAAUGGGUACUGUGUAAUAUAGUCAGUCAUUUGCAUUGUAAUGGACAUUGUAAUGUGUUUGAUGAUAGAAGUCUUCUGUCUGAUCAGGUGAAAGUUGGUUUAACUGUCACUGGGGUCCUUAACUGACAGUUGAGGAAAGAGGUUGGAGCUGGAACACUCAAAAUGCAAAAGAAGGCUAGAACCUAUGCAUAUUCUGAUUGGUGGUUACAGGUUUAGAAUUCUUAGUUAGGCAGUGUGAUUGGCUGGUGCUCAACUAGGUGGGGCACAAGAAGUGAAUUUAUAGCUGGGUGCUAUUCAGUCAAGAUCAGUCUGUGUUAGUUGGAGACGGAUGCCAGCAACCACCAGGAAGGUAACCAGAAGAAGAAGACAGCAGAGGAAGAGAACUCAGAAAGAAGAUCUGAAAAAAAUGAAGUGUAGCUUGGUGGCCAGAAGGCUUGCUAGGGCAGCUGAAUCACUUGGCUUAGAGUAAAGAGACAUGGGAAGAACGUGUUUACAAUAUUAAGGCAGAAGAAAUGAGAGGCAGUUUAGAAUGCUAAACAGAUCUGCACUUCAAUAAGUUGGUAGGGAUCAAAACAGGCUUUAACAAAAGUCCUCAGUUACAGCACUGGUAAGGCUUAACUGAGGUAGAAUAAAUAUGAGGUCAGGCUGGUAGAAGAGUUUUAAUAGGGUAACUAAUUGCUCCUAAAAGCUAUAUUGUUUAAAGUGGCAGUAACAAGAUAAAGUGUAAAAAAAACCCCUACCCUAUCGGAAGAGAGCAGGUACCAGCUAUCACAAAAAGCUCAAAAUCCUAUAGACUUAAUGUUUCCUCCAAGUAGAUGGGGCACAUAAUAUUGUUGGCUGCCAAGCAGGGGCUUGCCCAGGACCCACAGAAUGCUGGCUGGCUCUUGGGGAAAUGAAAACAAGAGGGAAGGGGGGGGGAUGGAAUAGUGUAAUUUCUAGAAAAGGGCAAGGCUGGUUGACUGAAACUGAACAGGAGCACUUCGCACUGCAACAUUUUGCUGCAAUUCUCAGUUGUGCUCAUCUAACAGCCGCAACUCACCAGAAAGUAAGCAUUCUUAAUUACAUUAAAAUCAGUGUGCUGUGUUAGAUGGUACCUCUUGUAACCCACACAUGGUCCUUUUUGGAGGAAGACAAUUUUAGGCAGAAAAGUGAUUCUAAUCAUUUCAAAGCUUUCUCCCUUGUUUCUGAGCAACUGUAGGGUUUUUUUUAACCCAUGAUAAUUUCAUGAGACUGAACAGUGAUGUAUCCAGAUUAAGGAAUUUAAAUUACAAGUCUAUAGAUAGGUUUAAAGUGUCAUGAUUUUUUCCUGCACUUUAGGUGGAAAUAGAAUGCCAGCUACAUUAACAGCUUUCACUGCUAAGUCCGUUACUAUAUCGACAAAAUAUGGUUUCUAAGGCAACGUCAACACCCAAGGGACUUCAGUCAGGGCAAAAUUGUUUUUCAAAAGAUAGUCUGUUCUAACAGCUACAUCAGGAAAUCUCUUAAAAGCUGAAGUUGGAAUGCUCUGAAUUAAAGCUAAGUGUCAUUGCAAGUAACCUAUCUUAAUUAAACCUGUCUUAAUUAUGUAUUGUGCCAACCAGGGUCAGCCCAAGACAUUUUGGUGCCCAAAUUGAAGAAGGGAUGAGUGAACGUCUAUAUCUAAGGGGAACAUCUAAGGGGAAAAUAUGGAGCUACAUCAAGAUCUGCUGCCCCUGUGGAUCCUGGCACCUGAGGCAGUCGUUUCACCUUGCCUCAUGUGUGGUCUGGCCCCGGUGCCAACAGACAAAUGAUCUUUCCUCAGAAAAGCUGCACAAUUUGGAACAGACAAAUGCUGAUCCUGGAAGAGUUAAACACCACCUCUCCACCUGCCAUUUCGCCACUCUGUGCCCUCCUCUGGAAAUGGGGCUUCCUCUUUAAAAGUGUCUGACAGGCUACAGUUGCAUGUAUUUGCAUAUAUUAUAUAAUGGGCAGUUUAGGCCAAGGCAACGGGAAGAAAUAGGGGGCAAACAAUAUAAAUAGCUGAGGAAUAUAGUCACCACACUUAAAAGUUGCUUUUUCAUACUUACUUGGCCUUUAUAUAAAAAAAAUACACGUCACUAAGGUGUUUUAAGUACAUUGACAAAUGUAGAAUAGAUAUGGCAAACACAUGAAUCACACACACUUCAAAGGGACAGAAUGAACUACAACUCCCUCUUGAAUGUGAGCUUAACAAGCAAACCUAGCUUUGCCCUUGUACAAUGUGUGAAAUGGAUCACAGGAUCUCCAUGUAGGAAAAAUACAUAUGGACUAUAAUAUGUGUGAAGUAUAGAACAAGUGCUUAUCAUGGUACCAGUACACCGAUCACAACAUCACAUCAACCAUUUCUUAAAUAAUAACAAAAUUGUACAAGUAGAGCUGGCUGACUUCCAUUUAUAUAGCGAGUUUUGUACCUUGACUGUUCACACAACAUAGUGGUAUGAAUUAGAGAGGCCUACAUAACUAUUUUUAUGCAAAACUUUCACCCGCUAUUCUGCUAUUCAUACGUUGUUUAAAAUCAACCAAAGAGUGGUCAUAGUGUGUGAUUGCAUAAGCUGUUUUAAUACAGAUACGGAGCUAGUGAGUCAUUCAGACAUCCUGUGCUAACUCAUCAUUUCUGCUUGAACAAUAAAUUGCAUAGUCAAAUUUGUUACCUUUGACAGUUUCUUAGCUACAUUAAAACAAACACUGUGUUUUGAAGUCAUUCACGUAUGACUGCUGGGAAAACAGAAAGCUACAAGUGCAAAUUGCUUUCUUUUUUUUAAAGGAAAAUAUAGCAUCUGGAAUGUUUGAUUGGGAUCAACUGCCACUUGGCUGCUUCUCUCCCAUAAUUGUUGAUUAUUAGUCAUUCUAGCUGAUUGCAACAGAGGGAAAAGUGAGAUAGUACAGUCUAUGGGACCAACUGUUAAUGGCUCUGCCUCUCCUAGAAUUGCCUCAAUGACCAUUGCACCUGCUCAUGAAACAGUUACAGUAUGUAAUUGUAACAGAGUAAGUGCCUGAAUCUGGUUCUUUUCCUGUUCCUUAAGUAUCUCUUUUCCUUUUUAUACCAUAACUCUUAGCUUGUUAAGUCUAUGGGCAGGAGCUUUGUUCUCUCAACAUUCGUACCACUGCCUAAAAGAUGAUAGAUAUCAUUAUUAUUAUUUCCUACAGUUGACAAACUAUUUAUGAGCUCUUCCAAACAUUAUACAGAAGUGCAAAUGCUAUAUCAGAUAUAAGGUGGCUUAAUAAAAUUAUAUUGUGGAAACGAAAGGGAUAAAUAUGUGAUAAAAAUAAAUUGUGUAUUUUAAAAAAUAAGUAGUUUGUUGUAUGUGUAUUAAACAAUAAAAUAUUGUCGCAAGCUUUCAUGUCGAAAACCAAGGGCAUAUAACUAUUCAUGCUUGGCUUGCCAUGGCAAAAGAUCAGCAAGGAAAGACAGAUAUCCAUGUUACUUGUAUGGAGACUCCUACACACACACACCCCCUAAAUUCCUAGACCAUUCUCUUUUUGUCUGUUGAAUGUAUCUAUUAAACAGAGAAAACAC